GUUUUUAAUUAAAAUCUAGAAUGAAAGAUUGGAUGAAAUAAAAUCUUUUUUAUUUUUAUAAAUUGAAUUAUAUAUAUUAGUUAAAAAGCUAAUAUAUAAAAAAGGGACGAGAAGACCCUAUAGAAUUUUAUAAUUAAAAUAUAUUUUAAUAAAAUUUAAAAUAAAAUUUAUAUUUAAAUUAUUUUAUUGGGGAGAUAAUUAAAUUUAAUUAACUUUAAUUUUAAAAUUCAAUAAUAUUUGUAAAAAUGAUCUAUUUUUAAUGAUUUUAAAAAUAAAUUACCUUAGGGAUAACAGCAUAAUAAUUUUAAAAAGUUCUUAUUUUUAAAAUAGUUUAU
rnacentral:rRNA from 1 species